GAAACUAGUAGAGUGGCGCACGGGUGAGUAACGCGUAAGUAAUCUACCCUCGCAUCUGGGAUAACCCACCGAAAGGUGUGCUAAUACCUGAUACGUCUGGAAUUAUACUUUGAAUCUAGAGAAAGGUGGCCUCUUCAUGAAAGCUACUGUGCGGGGAGGAGCUUGCGUACCAUUAGCUAGUUGGUAGGGUAACGGCCUACCAAGGCGAUGAUGGUUAGCGGGUCUGAGAGGAUGAUCCGCCACACUGGAACUGGAACACGGACCAGACUCCUACGGGAGGCAGCAGUGAGGAAUAUUGCGCAAUGGGGGCAACCCUGACGCAGCGACGCCGCGUGGAUGAUGAAGGCCUUCGGGUUGUAAAAUCCUGUCAGAUGGGAGGAAGUGUUAUAGUGUUAAUAUCAUUAUAGUUUGACGGUACCAUCAAAGGAAGCACCGGCUAACUCCGUGCCAGCAGCCGCGGUAAUACGGAGGGUGCAAGCGUUGUUCGGAAUUACUGGGCGUAAAGCGCGCGUAGGCGGCUAUUCAAGUCAGAUGUGAAAGCCCGCGGCUCAACCGUGGAAGUGCAUUUGGAACUGUAUAGCUUGAGUACUGGAGGGGGUAGUGGAAUUCCCGGUGUAGAGGUGAGAUUCGUAGAUAUCGGGAGGAAUACCGGUG
rnacentral:rRNA from 1 species